UACCAUACAAUCACACCGGUGGAUCUCGCUUCUUUCCAAUAGCAAUGUCGCUCAUGGUAAAUGAAAAUGGGGAGUUGGAUUUUUCGGAAUUUUAUUCCAAAUCACACAAAUCGAAGAAAACAAACGAAUGGAUUGAUCCCAAAUGUGGUGAGCUACAUGAUGCGAUGGUCAAUCUACAAGCGACAGCCACAAAUGCGGGGAUCCCAUUGACAC